rnacentral:tRNA from 3 species
GGAGAGGUGGCCGAGUGGCCGAAGGCGCUCGCCUGCUAAGCGAGUAUAUGGGUGAACCAUAUCGAGGGUUCGAAUCCCUCCCUCUCCG